AACUUUCAGCAAUGGAUCUCUUGGCUCUCGCAUCGAUGAAGAACGCAGCGAAUCGCGAUAUGUAAUGUGAAUUGCAGAUCUACAGUGAAUCAUCGAAUCUUUGAACGCACCUUGCGCUUAUC
rnacentral:rRNA from 1 species